ACUCCUACGGGAGGCAGCAGUGGGGAAUAUUGCACAAUGGGGGAAACCCUGAUGCAGCCAUGCCGCGUGUGUGAAGAAGGCCUUGGGUUGUAAAGCACUUUCAGUAGGGAGGAAGGUAGUGUAGUUAACACCUGCACUAUUUGACGUUACCUACAGAAGAAGCACCGGCUAACUCCGUGCCAGCAGCCGCGGUAAUACGGAGGGUGCGAGCGUUAAUCGGAAUUACUGGGCGUAAAGCGCAUGCAGGCGGCCUGUUAAGUCAGAUGUGAAAGCCCGGGGCUUAACCUCGGAAUUGCAUUUGAAACUGGCAGGCUAGAGUCUUGUAGAGGAGUAGAAUUUCAGGUGUAGCGGUGAAAUGCGUAGAGAUCUGAAGGAAUACCAGUGGCGAAGGCGGCCCCUGGACAAGACUGACGCUCAGAUGCGAAAGCGUGGGAGCAAACAGGAUUAGAUACCCCUGGUAGCGACUGA
rnacentral:rRNA from 1 species